AUACAGGUGGUGCAUGGUUGUCGUCAGCUCGUGUCGUGAGAUGUUGGGUUAAGUCCCGCAACGAGCGCAACCCUUGUCUUUAGUUACCAUCAUUAAGUUGGGGACUCUAGAGAGACUGCCGGUGAUAAACCGGAGGAAGGUGGGGGAUGACGUCAAAUCAUCAUGCCCCUUAUGGCCUGGGCUACAAACGUAAUACAAUGGCGUAUACAAAGGGAUGCGAAAGGGCGACCUGGAGCAAAACUCACAAAGUACGUCUCAGUUCAGAUCGGAGUCUGCAACUCGACUCCAUGAAGGCGGAAUCGCUAGUAAUCGCGGAUCAGCAUGCCGCGGUGAAUACGUUCUCGGGUUU
rnacentral:rRNA from 1 species